rnacentral:rRNA from 1 species
CCAGCAGCCGCGGUAAUUCCAGCUCCAAUAGCGUAUAUUAAAGUUGUUGCGGUUAAAAAGCUCGUAGUUGGAUUUCUGCUGAGAACGACCGGUCCGCCCUCUGGGUGUGUAUCUGGCUCUUUCUUGGCAUCUUCUUGGUGAACGUUGCUGCACUUGACUGUGUGGAGCGCUACCCAGGACUUUUACUUUGAGGAAAUUAGAGUGUUUCAAGCAGGCAUACGCCUUGAAUACAUUAGCAUGGAAUAAUAAGAUAGGACCUCGGUUCUAUUUUGUUGGUUUCUAGAGCUGAGGUAAUGAUUAAUAGGGAUAGUUGGGGGCAUUCGUAUUUAACUGUCAGAGGUGAAAUUCUUGGAUUUGUUAAAGACGGACUACUGC